rnacentral:rRNA from 1 species
UCAGGACGAACGCUGGCGGCGUGCUUAACACAUGCAAGUCAAGGAGAACAGAUUUCUUCGGAGGUCUUAGUAAACUGGCGAACGGGUGAGUAACACGUAGGUAACCUGCCCUUGAAUCUGGGAUAACCUUGCUAAAGCGGGGCUAAUACCGGUUAUAAUCCUUUUUUCGUAUGUUAGAGGGAUGAAAGUUGCCUUUUGGUAACGUUCAAGGAUGGACCUGCGUCCCAUUAGCUAGUUGGUGAGGUAACGGCUCACCAAGGCAACGAUGGGUAGCCGGCCUGAGAGGGUGACCGGCCACACUGGGACUGAGAUACGGCCCAGACUCCUACGGGAGGCAGCAGUGAGGAAUAUUGCGCAAUGGCCGAAAGGCUGACGCAGCAACGCCGCGUGGGUGAUGACGCUCCAAGGAGUGUAAAGCCCUGUUAGGAGGGAAGAACGACAUUGGCGUGAAUAAUGUCAAUGCAUGACGGUACCUCCAGAGAAAGCCCCGGCUAACUCCGUGCCAGCAGCCGCGGUAAUACGGGGGGGGCAAGCGUUGUCCGGAAUUAUUGGGCGUAAAGGGCGCGUAGGCGGAAUAAUAAGUCAGAGGUGAAAACCAUGGGCUUAACUUAUGGCUUGCCUUUGAAACUGUUAUUCUUGAGUGCGGAAGAGGGAAGUGGAAUUCCUGGUGUAGCGGUGAAAUGCGUAGAUAUCAGGAAGAACACCGGUAGCGAAGGCGGCUUCCUGGUCCGUAACUGACGCUGAGGCGCGAAAGGCGUGGGGAGCAAACAGGAUUAGAUACCCUGGUAGUCCACGCCGUAAACGAUGGGCACUAGGUGUUGGUUCACGAUGAGUGGAUCAGUGCCGAAGCUAACGCAUUAAGUGCCCCGCCUGGGGAGUACGAUCGCAAGGUUGAAACUCAAAGGAAUUGACAGGGGGCCCGCACAAGCGGUGGAGCAUGUGGUUUAAUUCGAUGCAACGCGAAGAACCUUACCUGGGCUUGAACUGAAGUGGCUCGNCCACCGAAAAGGUGGUUUUUUCCUUUCGGGAACUGCUUCNAGAGGUGCUGCAUGGCUGUCGUCAGCUCGUGCCGUGAGGUGUUGGGUUAAGUCCCGCAACGAGCGCAACCAUUGCCCUUAGUUGCCAUCAGGUUAUGCUGGGAACUCUAAGGGGACUGCCCCGGAUAACGGGGAGGAAGGUGGGGAUGACGUCAAGUCCUCAU